UGGCCUUGACAUUGAUAGAACACCCUAGAGAUAGAGUGGUGCCCUUCGGGGAACUUGAAAACAGGUGCUGCACGGCUGUCGUCAGCUCGUGUCGUGAGAUGUUGGGUUAAGUCCCGCAACGAGCGCAACCCUCGUCCUUAGUUGCCAGCAGGUUAAGCUGGGCACUCUAAGGAGACUGCCUUCGCAAGGAGGAGGAAGGUGAGGACGACGUCAAGUCAUCAUGGCCCUUACGGCCAGGGCUACACACGUGCUACAAUGGGGCGUACAGAGUGUUGCGAUACCGCGAGGUGGAGCUAAUCACUUAAAGCGUCUCUCAGUUCGGAUUGGAGUCUGCAACUCGACUCCAUGAAGC
rnacentral:rRNA from 1 species